rnacentral:rRNA from 1 species
GCCAACGGCCAUGUCACCCUGCAACUUACAAUUGAAUACCCACUGAAGCUCAGCAGGUGUGAGCCUGGUCAGUACCUGGAUGGGAGACCUCCUGGGAAAAACUAAGGUUGCUGCUGGAA